rnacentral:rRNA from 1 species
UACGUAGGGGGCGAGCGUUGUCCGGAUUUAUUGGGCGUAAAGAGCUCGUAGGCGGCUCGUUGCGUCGGCUGUGAAAACCCGCAGCUCAACUGUGGGCUUGCAGCCGAUACGGGCGGGCUGGAGUUCGGUAGGGGAGACUGGAAUUCCUGGUGUAGCGGUGAAAUGCGCAGAUAUCAGGAGGAACACCGAUGGCGAAGGCAGGUCUCUGGGCCACUACUGACGCUGAGAAGCGAAAGCAUGGGGAGCGAACAGG